GUCCAGGGCAUGGCCAUACCACUUUCAGAAACUCAAAUUAUUAUCUGCUUGGAGCCAGCUGAGUGAGGAUCCUGUCUGAUCAAUUGUCUUCCAUUUUGAUAAGUAGCAUAUUAUGACCAGUUUAUGGGGACGUGUGCAGUAACCCAAUGUUAAUAGCCCUGCCUUCAGCUUGCUAAGCUCUGGAAAGAGCAUUUUGAAUUUCUUCAACAAGAAGGAAGAUUAUCAGCCACAAGAAAGAACCACACAGGGAAAGUGAAUAGAUUUGGGCAGAUCUAUACCUACUAGAGACAAUGUCAGUGAGAAGAGAGGCUGGUGCUGUCUUUAUCUACUGGAUGCGAAGCAGAGAGAAAGUAUGUAGCGAUGUAAGAAAAGAAGGCUGGAUCAAAAUCUCAGAAGCUGCAAGAAUGACUUUCGCGAAAUAUUGGAAAAAUGAGGAGACGCCGAAGAAGGUUAGUUGGUUGAACAAAGUAAAUGAAAUUCGAGACAUGGACAAACUUACCUUUUUACUGAGAACGACAAGAGGAAAAAGCAUUAGAGAAACCAACUGGG
rnacentral:lncRNA from 11 species